AAGUCGUAACAAGGUUUCCGUAGGUGAACCUGCGGAAGGAUCAUUAGAAAUUUUUUAUGUAUUCAAAAAUUUUCGAAUCUUGAUAUCUAAAAAAAAAUAUAAUUAUUAAUUAAUUCAUGAGACAACUUUCAACAACGGAUCUCUUGGCUCUU
rnacentral:misc_RNA from 1 species